UACGUAGGUGGCGAGCGUUGUCCGGAAUUACUGGGUGUAAAGCGCGCGUAGGCGGGAGGCCAAGUCCGCUGUGAAAUCGCCCGGCUCAACUGGGCGCGGUCGGUGGAAACUGGUCACCUGGAGGACGGUAGAGGCGAGUGGAAUUCCCGGUGUAGUGGUGAAAUGCGUAGAGAUCGGGAGGAACACCAGUGGCGAAGGCGGCUCGCUGGGCCGGCCCUGACGCUGAGGCGCGAAGGCGUGGGGAGUGAACGGG
rnacentral:rRNA from 1 species